rnacentral:rRNA from 1 species
GAUGAACGCUGGCGGCGUGCCUAAUACAUGCAAGUCGAGCGAACAGACGAGGAGCUUGCUCCUCUGACGUUAGCGGCGGACGGGUGAGUAACACGUGGAUAACCUACCUAUAAGACUGGGAUAACUUCGGGAAACCGGAGCUAAUACCGGAUAAUAUAUUGAACCGCAUGGUUCAAUAGUGAAAGACGGUUUUGCUGUCACUUAUAGAUGGAUCCGCGCCGCAUUAGCUAGUUGGUAAGGUAACGGCUUACCAAGGCAACGAUGCGUAGCCGACCUGAGAGGGUGAUAGGCCACACUGGAGCGGGGACAGGGUCCAGGGUCCUACGGGAGGCAGCAGUAGGGAAUCUGCCGCAAUGGGCGAGAGCUUGACGGAGCAACGCCGCGUGAGUGAUGAAGGUCUUCGGAUCGUAAAACUCUGUUAUUAGGGAAGAACAAAUGUGUAAGUAACUGUGCACGUCUUGACGGUACCUAAUCAGAAAGCCACGGCUAACUACGUG